GACAUUUUCUCCUGCAUUGUGACUCACGAAAUUGACCGCUACACAGCAAUUGCCUAUUGGGGUGAGGCUUUCUCCCUGGAAUUCUGGUCCUUUUGGGGGCAAAAAGGGAUAGAUCCAUGGGAGGAGGCUUCUUUCUCCACUGGUACCUUGUUUAGUCCAUUCCUACCCUAAGCCCAUCCCAGUCUCCCAUGUCAUCCCAGACACCCACGUCAUUUCCCUGGGUGGGAGGCUCCCUAACUAGGUCCCCAGGCUGAGCCACUCAUUUCCUCCAGUACCCCGGAACGCACUGCCCUCAGAUCUGCUGGAGAAUGUGCUGUGUGGCGUGGCCUUUGGCCUGGGUGUGCUGGGCAUCAUCGUGGGCAUUGUUCUCAUCAUCUACUUCCGGAAGCCUUGCUCAGGUGACUGAUUCUUCCAGACCAGAGUUUGAUGCCAGCAGCUUCGGCCAUCCAAACAGAGGAUGCUCAGAUUUCUCACAUCCUGCCCAGGAUCUCCUCUUAGGGUAGAAGUCUCUGGGACAUCCCUGGGGUGUGUGUGUAGAUUUCCCACCUGGGGACUCUGCUGUCCCUGGGCUUGCAUCCCAGGGAUCCCAGAGUGGCCUGCCUAUCACAACCACAUCCCUUCCCCCCACAAGGCAAUAAAUCUCAUUUCUUUAUAUCA
rnacentral:lncRNA from 1 species